UACAGAGGUCCCAAGCGUUGUUCAGAUUCACUGGGCGUAAAGGGUGCGUAGGUGGUCGGGUAAGUCUGAUGUGAAAUCUCUGGGCUCAACCCAGAAAUGGCAUUGGAUACUAUUCGGCUAGAGGAGUGGAGGGGGGACUGGAAUACUUGGUGUAGCAGUGAAGUGCGUAGAUAUCAAGUGGAACACCAGUGGCGAAGGCGAGUCCCUGGACACUUCCUGACACUGAGGCACGAAAGCUAGGGGAGCAAACAGG
rnacentral:rRNA from 1 species